CAAGAAAUAGUUUAUUAAAAUUUUAAUUUUGGAGAUUAAAGAUGAAAAAAUUUUUCUUUCUUGA
rnacentral:tRNA from 1 species